AUGCACGCUGGCGGCGUGCCUAAUACAUGCAAGUCGAGCGAACGGACGAGAAGCUUGCUUCUCUGAUGUUAGCGGCGGACGGGUGAGUAACACGUGGAUAACCUACCUAUAAGACUGGGAUAACUUCGGGAAACCGUAGCUAAUACCGGAUAAUAUUUUGAACCGCAUGGUUCAAAAGUGAAAGACGGUCUUGCUGUCACUUAUAGAUGGAUCCGCGCUGCAUUAGCUAGAUGGUAAGGUAACGGCUUACCAAGGCAACGAUGCAUAGCCGACCUGAGAGGGUGAUCGGCCACACUGGAACUGAGACACGGUCCAGACUCCUACGGGAGGCAGCAGUAAGGAAUCUUCCGCAAUGGGCGAAAGCCUGACGGAGCAACGACGCGUGAGUGAUGAAGGUCUUCGGAUCGUAAAACUCUGUUAUUAGGGAAGAACAUAUGUGUAAGUAACUGUGCACAUCUUGACGGUACCUAAUCAGAAAGCCACGGCUAACUACGUG
rnacentral:rRNA from 1 species